rnacentral:rRNA from 1 species
UACAGAGGGUGCGAGCGUUGUUCGGAAUUAUUGGGCGUAAAGCGCAUGUAGGCGGCCUGUUAAGUCGCGUGUGAAAGCUACCCGGCUCGAACCGGGAAAGUGCGCGCGAAACUGACAGGCUUGAGUGCUGGAGAGGGUGGCGGAAUUCCCGGUGUAGAGGUGGAAAUUCGUAGAUAUCGGGAGGAACACCAGAGGCGAAGGCGGCCACCUGGACAGACACUGGACGCUGAGACGCGAAAGCGUGGGGAGCAAACAGGA